CAGGCAUCGCCCUUGAGGGCCCCGGGACUUACUUGUGCAGGGCAUGUCCAGGGGAUCCAGGUCUGC
rnacentral:miRNA from 1 species